rnacentral:rRNA from 1 species
CACGUAGGGGGCGAGCGUUGUUCGGAAUUACUGGGCGUAAAGGGCAUGUAGGCGGCUUUGUAAGCUUGGCGUGAAAUUCCACGGCUUAACCGUGGGAAUGCGUUGAGAACUGCGAGGCUUGAGUGACGGAGAGGGAGCUAGAAUUCCUGGUGUAGGGGUGGAAUCUGUAGAGAUCAGGAAGAAUACCAAUGGCGAAGGCAAGCUCCUGGCCGAUGACUGACGCUGAGGUGCGAAAGUGUGGGGAUCAAACAGGAUUAGAUACCCUGGUAGUCCACACUGUAAACGAUGUACACUAGGUGCUGGGGCGGAUGCUUCAGUGCCGUAGCUAACGUGAUAAGUGUACCGCCUGGGGAGUAUGCUCGCAAGGGUG